AAUGACAGGUUUUGUAUUUAGUACAACAUUCCAAAAAUUUUAUAACAAUGUACAGUAUACUGUCCUGAAUUACAACUUAUUGAUGUACAGGUGUGAGAAUAUGGAGCUGCUACCUGAAACUCAAGCAGAUGACAACCGUUUGGUACUACAAUGUACUCGAGAGAAGUGGCAGCCUUACUCCUUCCCCGGCAAUGUAUUGGUUGGGAUGAGGGUGAUGGUGGUGCUGGUAGCAGGAAUAUGUAUGGAUGUGUUUGGACGACGGAGGUCAGCUGUGGUGUGGAUGGGACUUUACUUCGUGGUGUCAUUUCUUAACCUUCUCGCCUAACCCUGAAUCUGUGGUGUUCUGUGUUACUCUGGAAGGAGCUGCUGCCCAGGCUACCACAAUUGCCCUACUCUUGCUGGCAACAGAAGGAAGCACACAGUCUGAGUGCGUAAGGUCAGUGUGCCUGGUGUUACUGGGCCAUUCUAUUGGAAUUGGAGCUGGAACCCCUCUGAUCAUGACAUUUGUGCCAGCACAGGUUUAUAAGCAGAUGGCUCGGAGCCUACCAACCCUGGUAUUUGUAAUAUUUAUCAUAAUGCUGCCAGAGAGUGCACGAUGGGCUGUAGGUCGAGGCUGUAUCCAUGAAGCCACUGUAAUUCUUAAGAAGUCACAUCACAUGUCCUUUGACCCUACUAUGAAGCAUAAGCUGUCAGCUCUUCACCAAGAGCACAAACUGUCACUAGCCCAGUAUAAGUGCUCUGGUCAUGUGUUGCGUGAGAGUUUGCAGCCUUUGGUGAAAUGUGGGCCGGCUCUUCCUUGUGUUUUUUGUGUUCUUAAUAUGUGGUUUGGCGCUAGGCUGUGCUGCUAGCGCUCGUCAACUCUUUGAUCCUACACCAUACAACAGUUUUGAAGAUCGACAAGUAGCAUUUGGAGCAGUUGAAUUUAUAUCAUUGUUGCUGUUGGGAUUGGCAGCUACGCGCCUCCAUGUUAAGUGGGCUUUGGUAUCACUUAUGUCGGCCCUUUCUGUAACACUUCUUCUUACUCCAGUGCUUAAACAAGCUGCAGUCUCAACCUGUGGAGGUUUUGUCUUCUUUUCCUGUCUUGGCCAUGCUGCUGUCAUCCUUGCUAGUGUGUGGAUGAGUGUUGGGGUUAUACGUCUAACUCCUACACAUUCCAGAGGAUUUGUGCUGGGAUCAACAUUUUCUAUGGCUACACUUGGUCAUGCUCUUGCCUAUCUAGAUAUUAUGUCAAUAUUUGCUUCAUAUGGACUGUACCUAGAUGAGUAUGCAGAGCUGAGUAUAUGGGCAAUAGCAACGUUUUUGGCUGGCUUACUGACACUUCUACUGCCAAGAACACCAUCAAGUCUACCAGACACCCUCUCACACAUUGUAGAAAGGCCACCUCCUCAGGAGAAGUUCGAAAAUGAUGAGGAGUAUGAAAACACACAACUGUAAGAGGUAUAAAUGCAUAUCACAGCUGGCAUCUGUCAAGUUAGACUAAAACAAUACAAUAUUUAUAUUUACAACAUGUGUACAGUACCAUAUCAGGCAAUACAUUUAUGUUAAACACACAAUACUGUUAUUUGUAACCGAUUUCUAAUGUAGUAGGUCAUGUACCGUACUAGAUAAUUAUGAGAGAAGUUAAAGAUUAUUCUAUAUUUGACUAGUGUGUGUUAGAAACUUAGAUAUGUCUUUCUAAGUAGAAGCAAAUCUUUGGUACUUCUUAAACACCCAGUGAAAAAUAUGCAUGUAUGUACAGUGAAACCUCUAUUUUACAGACUACAUGGAGAGGAAAGUCCGUUAUAUCGAGGAACUAUUAGAUGUGAAGCCUCCAUCUAAACUAAUUAUAGUACAGUACUAUAUAGAUAUAAAAGUUCAUUACAUCGAGGGCCCAUUAGAAGUGAAACCCCCAUGUAAUGGAUUAUAUGGAGAGAGAAGUCUUUUAUAUAGAGGUUUCACUGUACAGUACAGUAAUAAUGUUUUGGAAACAGUUGUCUGUUAAAGAAUAUUCAAACUUUUCCAUGUCCAGAAAAUCUCAUACAGUAAAAUCUCCAUGAGCCGGAAUCCCUCAAACCCAGAACUCUCUGAUGACGGAAUUGAAAUUUUCCGAGGGGCACAUUCGAAAAUUCAGAUAAAUUUUUCCCGAUAUGUGGAAAAUUCUGGAACAUUCCGGGGAUGGGGAUUUUUUUCCGGGUUUGAGAGAUGAUAAUCAGGUGCAUUUUCUAGAAAUUCCGAAAAAAAUUUUCCUUUACCAGAAAAUUCCGG
rnacentral:misc_RNA from 1 species